rnacentral:antisense_RNA from 1 species
GGCCUCCCGCACCGAAGGGACCCUGGGCGUCUGAGGCCCUGAUCCGGGCGGGCCUUCAGGAUGUUAGCAGUCCCUGUCCGGUUGAAGGCCUGCGGGGCGGGGGCGGGGGCGGGGGCGGGGUGGCGCCCAGGACGACUCCCCAGGCUCAGCUUGGCUGCCUGCCUCCUUCUGUAAGUGCUUUUUUUUUCUUCACCUGGGACCCUCUAGAGGUUGGAAAGAGAAGAGAGGCUGGGAGCGGAUGGAAAGCAUGACUGCAUCUGGAGCCCCUGGGGGGAGUGGGGAAGAGGGAGUGGAAGGACAGUGGCUGAGGGGCUUCCUGUUGCAGCCUUCAGCUGGACUCAGGGUUGGGGUCACUGGAGGAGGAGGUGGCUUCCUGCCCCAUUUUCUGGACUGCAGUGUUUCUUGGGAAUACUUACUGUAUGUGGAUUUUCAGUAACCAACUUGGAAAGCUGUAUUUGUUCCCAUGAUUCAG